GACAUUUAGUCUGUAACAGGAUCUAUGUAGUUUUUUUAAAAAACUGAUCCAACAAAGGAUUUUUUAAAAGCAUUUCUGCUUCUUAAAUCAACUCCUGGUUUUCACGAAACCCCAGACCUCUAAGGCUUCUUUCCAGCUAAACACUAAAGACAGCACCUGAGUUUCCCUCCAAAACAGAUAAAAUCCUGAAUAAGGGCUUGAAAGGAAACAGCUAGAAGAAACGAGAGCUCUGUAAUCACACAGUCGUGUGCAUCCAUCCCCAGCUGUCAACAGGAUCUUCUGAGUAAAACACAGCUAAAUAAAUCUCUGCAAUGAGGAAGGACCGCAAUCAAAGAUGAGGAAAUGGAGGAAAAGAAACUUCUUCAAGGUCACCUAGCUCAUAAAUGGCAACACCAAGAUUUAAAUUGAAGUAGUUUAUCUCGAGAGUCCUUGCUUUUGGAUGGGAGUCUUGUCGAUCACAUUCAACCCUAAAUACCCAUCAUGUAGAACAGUGCCUGGCACACAGUAGGCACUCAAUAAAUAUUUGUUGAAUGACUGAAUGAUGUAGUGGUUUCAAAGGAGACCCUAACCCUGGGUCUCCAUGAGCUUGCCCUUGGGUAUACCCUAUCAC
rnacentral:lncRNA from 10 species